rnacentral:rRNA from 1 species
UACGGAGGGUGCAAACGUUGCUCGGAAUCAUUGGGCGUAAAGCGCACGUAGGCGGCCGAAUAAGUCGGAUGUGAAAGCCCAGGGCUCAACCCUGGAAGUGCAUUCGAAACUGUUCGGCUUGAAUAUGGAAGAGGGUCGCGGAAUUCCCGGUGUAGAGGUGAAAUUCGUAGAUAUCGGGAGGAACACCAGUGGCGAAGGCGGCGACCUGGGCCAAUAUUGACGCUGAGGUGCGAAAGCGUGGGGAGCAAACAGG